rnacentral:lncRNA from 1 species
UAAAAUCUUCUCUCCCCUAACAGUAGACCCAAAAUCAAUCAAUCUCUAGGGUGGAAACAAAAAAAAAACAGCGAGAAAUACUUAUUAAUGACAAAAAUCCCCCUAUAUUGUUAAAUCGGUGUAGAACCAACAGUUGAUGUACCCAUGAGAUUCUCGAUUCUUAUGUAUUUGUAUGUGUUCUAAAUCUUUGGAUUCUUAGGAUGUUUAACAUACUCUUUCGUUAUGAUUAUUUUUUGUAUGUAUAAAAGUGUUUAGCUAGAAUUCGUUUGAAUUGUAUCUCAAGAUUG